rnacentral:rRNA from 1 species
GACGGGGGCUGCAAGUGUUAUCCGGAAUCACUGGGCGUAAAGGGCGUGCAGGCGGUUUGUUUAGUCUAGGGUGAAAGCUCCCGGCUUAACUGGGAGAGGUCCUUGGAUACUGGCAAACUUGAGGGAGGCAGAGGAAAGUGGAAUUCCCGGUGUAGUGGUGAUAUGCGUAGAUAUCGGGAGGAACACCAGUGGCGAAGGCGCGUUUCUGGGCUGCAUCUGACGCUGAGGCGCGAAAGCUAGGGGAGCAAACAGG